AUGGCGAUGGCGAAUCCCUCCGCGGCCGGUGCCCCAGGAAUCUGUAGCGACGCACUGUUCCGGGAGCUAUGGCAUGCUUGUGCCGGUCCGUUGAUCACAGUACCCAGACAAGGCGAACGAGUCUAUUACUUUCCCCAGGGUCAUAUGGAACAGCUUGAGGCAUCUACAAACCAGCAGCUUGACCAGUACCUGCCGAUGUUCAACCUACCAUCCAAAAUCCUAUGCAGCGUGGUCAACGUAGAGCUCCGGACGGAAGCUGAUUCAGAUGAAGUUUACGCUCAAAUUAUGCUGCAACCAGAGGCUAAUCAAGGUGAGCUCACAAGCUUGGGUCCUGAGCCAAAAGAACUCGAAAAAGGCACCAUACAUUCCUUUUGCAAGACACUGACAGCUUCGGAUACGAGUACCCAUGGUGGUUUCUCUGUUCUUAGGAGGCAUGCUGAAGAGUGUCUUCCUCCGCUGGACAUGUCUCAGAAUCCACCAUGUCAAGAACUGGUAGCCAAAGAUCUCCAUGGAACUGACUGGCAUUUUCGUCACAUAUUUCGGGGACAGCCUAGGCGACAUCUACUUACAACUGGCUGGAGUGUCUUUGUUAGCUCAAAAAGAUUGGUUGCUGGUGAUGCAUUUAUCUUUCUGAGAGGUGAAAAUGGUGAGUUGCGGGUUGGAGUAAGGAGGCAUAUGAGGCAAGUAAAUAACAUGCCAUCAUCUGUGAUAUCAAGCCACAGCAUGCAUCUUGGAGUCCUUGCAACAGCCUCCCAUGCAAUCUCCACUGGGACCCUCUUUUCUGUUUUCUAUAAACCCAGAACAAGUCAAUCUGAGUUUGUGGUGAGUGUUAACAAGUACCUUGAAGCGAAGAAGCAGAACAUUUCUGUUGGAAUGAGAUUUAAGAUGAAAUUUGAAGGCGAUGAAGCUCUUGAAAGAAGGUUCAGUGGAACAAUAAUUGGUAUUGGGAGCACGCCGACGGUGUCAACAUCUCUAUGGGCAGAUUCUGAUUGGAAAUCUCUGAAGGUCCAAUGGGAUGAGCCUUCAUCCAUUCUUCGUCCAGAUAGAGUUUCACCAUGGGAAUUGGAGCCACUGGAUGCAGCUAAUCCACAACCCCCUCAACCUCCACUGAGAAAUAAGCGUCCCCGACUUCCAGCUUCACCUUCUGUGGUUCCAGAACUUGCUCCAAAAUUUGGACUAUGGAAGUCCCCGGCUGAACCAAGCCAAACCCUCUCAUUUUCGGAGCCACAACAGGCUCGAGGGUUAUUUACUAAUUCACGCUUCUCAUCAUCAUCAAACGUUGCAUUCAAUCAGUUCUACUGGCCAGCAAGAGAAUCAAGAGAAGACUCUUAUGCUGGAAGUACUAACAAAGUCACUGUUGAAAGAAAGCUUGAACCAGCUGCUGGUGGUUGCAGAUUAUUUGGAAUUGAGAUAAGAUCUGCUGUGGAAGAAACACAACCCGUGCUAACUGUCUCAGGUGAUGGUUAUGACCAAACGGCUGCAUCUGUAGACGUGGACUCUGGCGAGCUCUCGCAGCCAUCCAAUAUGAACAACUCUGGUGCCCAAGCAGCAAGCAGUGAGCGUGCUCUUCUUGAGACCCAAAGUCGCCAAGUUAGAAGCUGCACAAAGGUAAUUAUGACAGGAAUGGCAGUUGGAAGAGCAGUGGACUUGACAAAGCUAUAUGGGUAUGUUGAUCUUCACCGCAAGUUGGAGGAGAUGUUUGAUAUACAGGGGGAGCUAUGUUCCACACUCAAGAAAUGGCAGGUUGUUUAUGCGGAUGAAGAGGAUGAUAUGAUGCUCGUUGGGGACGAUCCUUGGGACGAGUUUUGCAACAUGGCGAAAAGAAUUUACAUUUAUACAUAUGAGGAGGCCAAGCAGUUGGCACCAAAGGCCGCCAAGCUCAGCCGUGUGAACUCAUCACAUGAAUCGGCCACUCCGCAGAGUGGCUCAGACUACCCAGCCUCGUUUGCCAAUGCAGAUUGCUGA
rnacentral:rRNA from 1 species